UCACACGAAGUUGUCCGGCCUCUACAGCAAGUUCACAUGAAAAUUGAUACAGAUCAGGGUCCUUAGAGGUGCUAGUCUGUAAGAAACUUUGAGGCUGAUUUCUUCCUUCUUCUUCAAAGGCCUUGGAAGCUCCAAAGGAUGAAGAAAUCUAGAGAGAAGAGGAGGAGAAGCUCUGGAAACAAAAACACUAGCAAGAGAACAAAGAUGUGAUGCC
rnacentral:lncRNA from 1 species